GUGAGCCAUCGUGAUGUGGUUAUUUCAAUCGGUAAGCCGUUGAUUGAAAAGGGCAAUAUUAUUAUUGCCCUUUAUUUUAU
rfam:Pantoea wallisii strain LMG 26277 Contig0024_, whole genome shotgun sequence.